GAGAUAGAUAGGGCGAUUGUAUUUAGCGGCGAGUAUUCGCCCUUGUGCCAGCCGCCGCGGUAAUACGGUGGGGGCGAGCGUUAAUCGGAAUUACUGGGCGUGGGAGCGUACGAGGGUGGUUAAUUAAGUCAGAUGUGAAAUCCCUAAGCUUAACUUAGGAACUGCAUUUGAAACUGAUUAGCUAGAGUUUUGUAGAGGGGGGUAGAAUUCCAGGUGUAGCGGUGAAAUGCGUAGAGAUCUGGAGGAAUACCAGUGGCGAAGGCGACCCCCUGGACAAAGACUGACACUCAUGUACGAAAGCGUGGGGAGCAAACAGGAUUAGAUACCCUGGUAGUCCAUGCUGUAAACAAUGUCAAUUUGAAGGUUGUAGCCUUGAGUUAUAGCUUUCGUAGCUAACGCGUUAAAUUGACCGCCUGGGGAGUACGGCCGCAAGCUUAAAACUCAAAUGAAUUGACGGGGGGCCGCACAAGCGGGGGAGGAUGUGUUUUUUAUUCGAUGCAACGCGAAAAAACUUACCUAUUCUUGACAUCGAAAGAACAAACAGAAAUGUUUUAGUGCCUUAAGGAAGUUGGAGAAAGGGUCUGCAGGCUGUCGGAGGG
rnacentral:rRNA from 1 species